rnacentral:rRNA from 1 species
UACGGGGGGGGCAAGCGUUGUUCGGAAUUACUGGGCGUAAAGGGCUCGUAGGCGGCCAACUAAGUCAGACGUGAAAUCCCUCGGCUUAACCGGGGAACUGCGUCUGAUACUGGAUGGCUUGAGUUCGGGAGAGGAAUGUGGAAUUCCAGGUGUAGCGGUGAAAUGCGUAGAUAUCUGGAGGAACACCGGUGGCGAAGGCGGCAUUCUGGACCGAAACUGACGCUGAGGCGCGAAAGCCAGGGGAGCAAACGGG